UACGUAGGGUGCAAGCGUUAAUCGGAAUUACUGGGCGUAAAGCGUGCGCAGGCGGUUGUGCAAGACAGAUGUGAAAUCCCCGGGCUUAACCUGGGAACUGCAUUUGUGACUGCACGGCUAGAGUGUGUCAGAGGGGGGUAGAAUUCCACGUGUGAGCAGUGAAAUGCGUAGAUAUGUGGAGGAAUACCGAUGGCGAAGGCAGCCCCCUGGGAUAACACUGACGCUCAUGCACGAAAGCGUGGGGAGCAAACAGG
rnacentral:rRNA from 1 species